rnacentral:lncRNA from 1 species
AUGACCUGGGGGAGAGACAGGAGAGUUAGAAAGGCGGGUUCCAGGCGAGGGCUGUCAUCAAGGCGUUUGGUGUGGAGCGCCUCUUCAGGCACGCUAGCCCCAGUGAGUCCAGUGUCCCUGGGAGUAGAUGACAUCAGCAUCCCGGUUUACAGAGAGAAUCUCAGAGCGGGUAAGUGGCCUGAGGACGGGCAGCCAGGUCUGGUGGUCUCCCUCUCCUACCUGGCUGCCUCUCCUUUCCUUCAAAGACGGGAGACGUCUAUUUCCUACGUGUCUUACAGCCUUCAUGCUGGAUCAACAAGCAGACCUGAGAUGUCAUCGACAGAGAGAUGUCCCCCCGCCUCCAGCUGAGCGACAGAGAUGAAGCAGAAGCUGCUUUUGAUUUUUAAAAAUUUUUUUAUUUUUGUAAAUUUAUAUCCAAAGAGUUAGCAUCUGGUGCAAGGACGAUUUCAGGAGUUAGAUGCCUUAGUGCCCCUUACGCAUUUAGCCCAUCCCCCCUCCCACAACCCCUCCAGGAACCCUCUGUUUGUUCUCCAUAUUUAUGAGUCUCUUCUGUUUUGUCCCCCUCCCUGGUUUUAUAUUAUUUUUGCUUCGCUUCCCUCUUGUUCAUCUGUUUUGUCUCUUAAAGUCCUCAAAUGAGGGAAAUCAUCUGAUUGUUGUCUUUCUCUGACUAAUUUCACUUAGCAUAAUACCCUCCAGGUCCAUCCACGUAGUUGCAAAUGGCAAGAUUUCAUUCUUUUUGAUUGCCGAGUGAUACUCCAUUGUAUAUAUAUCCCACAUCUUUAUCCAUUCGUCCUUCGAUGGACAUUUGGCCUCUUUCCAUACUUUGGCUAUUGUUGAUAGUGCUGCUAUAAACAUGGGGGUGCCUGUGUCCCUUCAAAACAGUGCACUUGUAUCCCUUGGAUAAAUGCCUAGUAGUGUAAUUGCUGGGUGGUAGGGUAGUUCUAUUUUUAGUUUUUUGAGGAAACUCCAUCCUGUUUUCCAGAGUGGCUGCACCAGCUUGCAUUCCCAUGCUUUUGAUUUUUAAAGAAAGAGUCUUGAUACCCUUUAUUUCGGGAAUUGUUCUUAAUAGAUCACAAAGAAAGUUCACAUUCGCCGGGAAGAGAAGAAGGGCAGUCGCGAUAACAGCAACAGUAAUAAUAAGCGUGGCCGUUAUGGGGCGCCCGGUGGCUCAGUCGGUUGGAUGUCCGACUGUAGCUCAGGUCAUGAUCUGACAGUUCAUGGGUUCGGCCCCGCAUCAGGCUCUGUGCUGACAGCUUGGAGCCUGGAGCCUGCUUUGGAGUCUGUGCCUCCCCCGGGCCCCCGCUCUCUGCCCCUCCCCUUCUCGCACUCUGUCUCUCAAAAAUGAAUAAAUGUUAAAAAAAAUAUUUUAAAAAAAGGCA